rnacentral:rRNA from 1 species
UACAUAGGUGGCAAGCGUUAUCCGGAAUUAUUGGGCGUAAAGCGUGCGUAGACGGUUUAGCAAGUUUGAGGUUAAAGACUGGGGCUUAACUCCAGUUCGCCUUGAAAACUGCUAAUCUAGAGUUUGGGAGAGGUUGAUGGAAUUCCAUGUGUAGCGGUGAAAUGCGUAGAUAUAUGGAGGAACACCAGUGGCGAAAGCGGUCAACUGGCCCAUCACUGACGUUUAGGCACGAAAGCGUGGGGAGCAAAUAGG